CGAGCAGACCGCUUUAUCGCUUUGCAUGUUAGGUAGAACUAUGGCAGGGAGGAAAGUCCGGACAACACAGGGCGCUGCACUUCCGAAAUGGAAGAUGUCUGUGAAGGUAUGGUAACAGAGAAGAAAACAACAGAUGCAGCUUGCUGCACCAAUGGUGAGAAGGUAGGGUAAGAGCCUACCAGCAGCAGUGGCAACAUUGCUGGCUGUCUGUCCUGCAGGUUGCAAGACCAAGUAAACCGACGCCUGAGGGUGGCCCGCCCGAGUCGGAGGGUAGGUCGCACAGAUAAAUGAUAAAGGAUCCGCUUUGCGGAUUACAGAAUCCGGCUUACAGGUCUGCUCUUUUU
rnacentral:RNase_P_RNA from 1 species